ACUGAACGGGACAGUUAGGACUCGGAAAGACGGGGACAUUCGUCGUUGUCUCUUCGUCGUAUCUGCCUAUUCCCCCACUGA
rnacentral:precursor_RNA from 1 species